UACGAAGGGGGCUAGCGUUGCUCGGAAUUACUGGGCGUAAAGGGAGCGUAGGCGGAUCGUUAAGUUGGGGGUGAAAGCCCGGGGCUCAACCUCGGAAUUGCAUUUGUGACUGCACGGCUAGAGUGUGUCAGAGGGGGGUAGAAUUCCACGUGUGAGCAGUGAAAUGCGUAGAUAUCGAGAGGAAUACCAACGGCGAAGGCAGGUCACUGGGCAGUUACUGACACUGAGGCACGAAGGCCAGGGGAGCAAACGGG
rnacentral:rRNA from 1 species